UCGCUAGAUGAGUCCGCGUACCAUUAGCUGGUUGGUAGGGUAACAGCCUACCAAGGCAACGAUGGUUAGCUGGUCUGAGAGGAUGAUCAGCCACACUGGAACUGAGAUACGGUCCAGACUCCUACGGGAGGCAGCAGUGAGGAAUCUUGCGCAAUGGGGGAAACCCUGACGCAGCAACGCCGCGUGAGUGAGGAAGGUCUUCGGAUCGUAAAGCUCUGUCAGUUGGGAAGAAACGCUUGGAAGCCAAUACCUUUCAGGCUUGACGGUACCCUCAAAGGAAGCACCGGCUAACUCCGUGCCAGCAGCCGCGGUAAUACGUAGGGGGCAAGCGUUGUUCGGAAUUACUGGGCGUAAAGGGCGCGUAGGCGGUUUGCUAAGUCAGAUGUGAAAGCCCCGGGCUCAACCGGGGGACUGCGCCUGAAACUUUCCGACUGGAGUUUGGGAGGGGCAACUGGAAUUCCUGGUGUAACGGUGAAAUGUGUAGAUAUCAGGAGGAACACCCGUGGCGAAGGCGGGUUGCUGGACCAAAACUGACGCUGAGACGCGAAAGCGUGGGUAGCAAACAGGAUUAGAUACCCUGGUAGUCCACGCUGUAAACGAUGAGUGCUAGGUGUAGGGGGUAUCGACUCCCUCUGUGCCGCAGUUAACGCAUUAAGCACUCCGCCUGGGGAGUACGGCCGCAAGAUUGAAACUCAAAGGAAUUGACGGGGGCCCGCACAAGCGGUGGAGCAUGUGGUUUAAUUCGACGCAACGCGAAGAACCUUACCAGGGCUUGACAUCCUACGAAUCCUAAGGAAACUAGGGAGUGCCCUUCGGGGAGCGUAGAGACAGGUGGUGCAUGGUUGUCGUCAGCUCGUGUCGUGAGAUGUUGGGUUAAGUCCCGCAACGAGCGCAACCCUUGUCUUUAGUUACCAUCAUUCAGUUGGGGACUCUAGAGAGACUGCCGGUGAUAAACCGGAGGAAGGUGGGGAUGACGUCAAAUCAUCAUGCCCCUUAUGGCCUGGGCUACAAACGUAAUACAAUGGCGUAUACAAAGGGAUGCGAAAGGGCGACCUGGAGCAAAACUCACAAAGUACGUCUCAGUUCAGAUUGGAGUCUGCAACUCGACUCCAUGAAGGCGGAAUCGCUAGUAAUCGCGGAUCAGCAUGCCGCGGUGAAUACGUUCUCGGGGUUUGUACACACCGCCCGUCAAGCCAUGA
rnacentral:rRNA from 1 species